GACGAACGCUGGCGGCGUGCUUAACACAUGCAAGUCGAACGAUGAAGCUGGAGCUUGCUCUGGCGGAUUAGUGGCGAACGGGUGAGUAACACGUGAGAAAUCUGCCCUUGACUCUGGAAUAACUGCGGGAAACUGUAGCUAAUACCGGAUACUUUCCCUGGUGGGCAUCCACUGGGGAAGAAAGAAUUUCGGUCAAGGAUGAUCUCGCGGCCUAUCAGCUUGUUGGUGAGGUAAUGGCUCACCAAGGCGACGACGGGUAGCCGGCCUGAGAGGGUGACCGGCCACACUGGGACUGCGACACGGCCCAGACUCCUACGGGAGGCAGCAGUGGGGAAUAUUGCACAAUGGGCGCAAGCCUGAUGCAGCAACGCCGCGUGAGGGAUGAAGGCCUUCGGGUUGUAAACCUCUUUUAGCAGGGAAGAAGCGAAAGUGACGGUACCUGCAGAAAAAGCACCGGCUAACUACGUGCCAGCAGCCGCCGUAA
rnacentral:rRNA from 1 species